rnacentral:rRNA from 1 species
GACAGAGGGUGCAAACGUUGCUCGGAAUUACUGGGCGUAAAGCGCGUGUAGGCGGACCCGCAAGUCGGACGUGAAAUCCCUGAGCUCAACUCAGGAACUGCAUCCGAAACUGCGGGUCUGGAGUGGUGGAGAGGGAAGCAGAAUUCCUGGUGUAGAGGUGAAAUUCGUAGAUAUCAGGAGGAACACCGGUGGCGAAGGCGGCUUCCUGGACACUUACUGACGCUGAGACGCGAAAAGCGUGGGGGAGCAAACAGG